rnacentral:lncRNA from 1 species
UUCAGGCUGGACAUUAGGAAAUACUACUCCUCUGAAAGGGUGGUCAGGCACUGAAAUGGGCUGCCCAGAGAGGUGGUGGAGUCACCGACCCUGGAGGUGUUCAAGGAAGGUUUGGACGUUGUGCUGAGGGACAUGGUUUAGUGAGAACCAUUGGUGAUGGGUGGAUGGUUGGACUGGGUGAUCCUGUGGGUCUCUUCCAACCGUGGUGAUUCUGUGAUUCUAUGAUAACAGUGUGGAAGAAUCCUUAAGGAUUCCACGAGGACAGAAUGGGAAAGUUAAUUACGCUACUUCUACUGCUCGGGUCUUCCUAAUGAAAAACAGGAUGUUCUCAGAACCUCAUUCUAUCACUCUUACACAUCAUCCCAUCAGGUCAGCAUUCUCACUUGUUCAGUUGUUUCUGUAUGGAAAACCAACAUUGCUGCUGUUCUUUCCAUGUUAAGGCUUAUGCUGGCGGUCACUGCCAUGACCUCUAAAAUUGUUUCUUGAAAGCAAACAAGGAUUAGAGCUGUGCAGUUAUCAGUGAAGUCGCAUUCAUGUGCCACUGAUGUUUUGGUACUGACGAGCCCAAAAUUCCCAGAGAGCAUGGAUAAAAUGUCACCAUCACAGAUUAACAGUUUGAGGCACGGCAAAGAUUAAUCACUCACAGUACAUAUACUACAUUAAAGGGAAAAGUGGGCUUCUUCCCCAUUUGUUAUCAGCCUAUCUGCAGUUAUUCCUAUCUGCAGAUUUGCACAGACCUGGUAGGACAAAGGAGCAAUACUGCUAUGUUCCCUAGUCCUCCAGCUGUUUUGGUAAAUUUUAACUAUUAAGCUAAGUAAUGAUAUUGAUUUCCCUCCAAACCUAAGUACUGUGCUUCAGUAUCAUCCCACCAUCUGAGAGGUGCCAACAAACUAGGGAACAGCGAGACCAGACCUUUGCUUGAUACUAAUUAGAAUUACCAUACUGACUGUAGUGCAGUCCUGAUGUAUGUGGGUUACAUAAUUAACUCGUAGGUAAAAAUAUUCACACCUUCAUAGAAGUCCACAAGCAGCUUCAAAGCUCCCCAUCCUUUUGCUUCCAGCAGAUUUUGGGCCUCUACCUACUUAAGUAGCUGGACAGCCAAAUAUUCUCCAUCCCAAACAAGUACUUGAUAUUUGUACAUCAGCAGAGGUUGGCACAGCACAAACAAAACAGCACUGCACGUAGUGCAUGUUCACAGCUGAUAUCUCUCCAACCAAGGCAGCCCAUGUUAGACCUAGCACUGUUAGGCUUAGUGGCACAACUGUGCUUUUUCCCAUAAAAAAUCUUGUGGGUCUUUAAUUAGCCUCAAAACACAAAAUCUUACGAAGUUGGGUCAGCUAAAUUUCUGCCCAUUUACCAGCCAGUCUGACAGUCACAUGCAGCACUGCUAAUUAAGUGGGAGAAUGCUUACAGUUUUAAGUUCUAUGUAAUGUAACAAUAAUACACCACCUUAAGGGAAAAAAACCACCUCAGUGUGAGCACUAGGGCUGCCUUCUGGAAAGAGACCUGAACAACAAUAAUUCUCUAAAGGUCAUCCCUUUUCUACCUAGCACCACCGGUGUUCUGUUAUCACCAUUUUCAGCAAUGUUCAACCAGGUGCCGAUAAUUCCAAAUACCGCAGCACCUUAAAUUAAAAUACAAAGUUGCUGUGCUUUGUAAUGAGAUGACACUGUAACAUCAGAAAUGUUCCCUUUCUGUGAGCAUGCACUUAUCCGCCGAAGUUACAUUUGCACUUCAUGGUAACAAUUGUGCUUGUUCAUACCACCAAUCGUUGCAGAGGACCUCAUCUUUCACUCCACAAGAAUAAAUACUUACUGCUUAAAAGUAAUGUAUCAAGGCUUGUCGUCCACUAAUUUUACUGAUUGCACUGUGAAUGAGCAAAGGUUUAUAAGACAAAGAUCCAGCAGAAGCCCCUUGCAUGAGUUCCACUACAGGAAGACCAAACUAUAUGUAGUUGUUAUACUGGGACUGAAGACAUGCCUUAUUUAGGUGUAGAAAUCAUUCCGGUCUUAUUGGAGGAUUUAGUUCUUGGCACGUGUAUACUCCAACUCCCAGGUGUUGGACUGCAUUAACUAAUUAAGGCCCAUUAAGAGGCUGCCCCUUAUGAAGAAUUGGCACAGGGUUUCAUAUCAUGGCCUAUGAAAGCACAGGAACAAUGGGUACAUGCAAAGAAUUUAAAUGAUGGCUUAGCUGCCCGAUCUGUUGGUUAUACUGUCAGUUUCGUGUGUAUUGCUCAGGUAGGAGCCUGUACUAAAUCAUGUACAUAAAAUCCUCCAAUGUCAUUUCUACUGAUUUCAAUAGAAAUCUUUUGAAACCUGUUGACUUCAGGAGGCACUGAAUCAGGCACCAUGGAAUUGCUUCUGGUUUUACAUACUCUAGUUUUACAGAUGUCGUUUCACUGACUUCAGUUAGGUUACUACUGAUUAUGAAGUGCAGAACAAAUUCCUCAUGAGAUCUCUGCAUGGAAGUGAAGGAUGUUUCUGAAUAGCAAAUUAUUUUUAGGACACUUUCCUCCUCUGUGCAAAUUUCAAGGCCACAUUCACUCCACAAUAGUGGUAGCACUCAACAACUCCUCUUUAGAGGACUAUCUUAACCACAGUCAUUUGCAAGGCUUAUUAAAUAUUACCCACCUGGCAGAUUUCCUUCAAGAGGAAUACUGAAGUGGUUUGUGUCCUACAGCCCACAAGCAAGAUGUUGUCAUCCUGAUAAAACUUUUCAUUAACAACAGAUUAACCAGUUCUUUCAUGAUGUAUCUGAUCCUUAUCACACUCCACUUACAGAUAAGUACAUUUUAUUGAUUAAAAACAAUCAAGGGUAAAUUAAUUCCUACUCAAACAAUGCCUUAAGUGGGAAAAAAAAAAAAAAAAGAGUACUUUUGCUUGCACUUUUUAGCAGUAUCCAGCAAGAAUGAAAGAUUAUUUUACAAUCAAGAAUAAAUCAGAUUCAUGUAGUUUGCAAGUGAGGGGGGGAAAAAAAUCAAGGCAGAAAAUUUAUAUAGCUUAUCCAAUCAUUUUUAGACCUCAUUUGAAAUUGGAACAUCUCCUUGAGUUCCUCCUUGCAAAUGUUUUUUUGUCUGUUGCAAGAAUGAAUAAACAUAAGUGGCUGUCACUCACAGAGCUGGAGCCAUUGUAACUCCAUGGGCAGGAAACACCGAGAAACAGAUCGUAUAGAAAAUAUACGUACAGAGCAGUGCCACAAAUGUGAGCUCUGCUUAUCAGUAACUGGAAUUUAAGACAUCCAAGAAUCAAGGAAACUUCAGUGAAAAUCCAAAAUCCUCUCAAGGCCAAUUCGUGAGGGCAAUUCACUUCCAUCUCAUCCUCUUCUCAUGGACAGCUUUAUAAUGUUAAUAUCAUAGAGUGAUAGAAUCGUUUGAGGUGGAAGGGACCCUUAAAGUCCAUCUGGUCCAAUUUUCCUGCAGUGAACAGGAACACCCACAGCUCCAUUGGGUGCUCAGAGCCCUGUCCAGCCUGACCUUGGGUACCUCCAAGACUAAAACUAACCAUUUUGUUAGUCAUACUGAGUUAAGAAACCCUAUAACUAAGAAGAAAGGGAAACAGAAAGGAAAGAUGUCAGGGCUCAUUUGCUUAAAAUGCCUGAAGUGUAAAUAACUUCACUUUCUUCUUGGACUUGUCUCUGCACAUCGUCACUCACAAAAGGGCAUCUGAGGAGUUCUCAGUGGGCAACUGAAACAAAACCACAAAAUGAACAGCAAAUCCUGACCCUACGUCUUGGAUGCUGACUGUUCAAACCGAGAGAGAGAGAGAUUCCAGUCCUACUCAUGCAGACAACCAACAGAGUAAAGACAGCUAACAGAGCAAAGCUUGGCAUUUUAAAUUACUUUCCAUAGCAGUUGACAUUCCAAAGGAAAGUUAAUUAAUCCUCAGCACCAAUAGAGUGAAGACAGAAGAACAGAGGUUUUUAAAUGCUGCUUAUGCCAGGCACAAAAGAAAAAAUAAAUGGUCCACAUACAGGACAUCUCCUGCAUUUAACCCCUCACCAUCAUCACAGUUUAAUUUAAUGUAGGUGAAUCCAGCUGAGCCAGGCUCUGAUUCACUUGACCGAGCUGUAGGAGUCCCUGUUCAUUACAGGGGAGUUGGAUCAGAUAACCUUUCUGUGAUUCUAUGAAUCCUGUUAUUUGGGCCUGACUGCCUUGAUCACCCUCAAAAAGAAACCAAAAAACCAAAACCACAGUGAUUCUGCAAAGGAAUAGCAUAGCACCAAGUUUUCAACACAUGCAAGGCCAGGUGUGAGAAGCAGAAGGUCAGCAGAUAAAAUAAACAUUUCAAGAUCAUUCCAAAGUCUUGCACCAUGGGCUCCUUCAUCCCACCAUCAUGGGUGUGCAGAGAACACUGUAAAAUGGUCUCACAUCAUUAGAGAGUGCUUUGCUCUGACUACUUAACCAGUCCUUAACUGCAGUGUGCUUGAGAGCUGUGCUUUGAAUAACAGAAAGAUAUGUGCUCUUAUCAAAAAAUCUCAUUAAAAAGUAAAUAAUUACAAUUGAUUCUGCUAGUAUUGUCUGGAGCACCAAUAAGGGCAGACACCCUGUUUUCAUGUUUCUUAUUUAUUACUAAAUUUUCUAACAAUCUAAUAG